rnacentral:rRNA from 1 species
UACGAAGGGGGCUAGCGUUGCUCGGAAUCACUGGGCGUAAAGGGUGCGUAGGCGGGUCUUUUAAGUCAGGGGUGAAAUCCUGGAGCUCAACUCCAGAACUGCCUUUGAUACUGAGGAUCUUGAGUUCGGGAGAGGUGAGUGGAACUGCGAGUGUAGAGGUGAAAUUCGUAGAUAUUCGCAAGAACGCCAGUGGCGAAGGCGGCUCACUGGCCCGAUACUGACGCUGAGGUGCGAAAGCGUGGGGAGCAAACAGG